rnacentral:lncRNA from 1 species
AGCGGAUGUAACGAGUUAUUACUGAGAAUAAAAGCAAUAACACAAAGUCAUUUAAAUCUGCAAACUGCCAGAAGAGUGGGUUAUAAAAAGGAGAAGCUGGGAACUUGAAAGCUGUUCAGAAGAUUUCUUAUAUUUAAGAUGUUAAAAUUACUUUCCUGUCUUAUUUAGGAAGCCUGCAUAGGCUGAAUAGGAGCCAAAGCUGGAGACUGCCAAAGAUGACAUUAAUGCAGUAUGUCAACACAGACUGCAAGAUUCACACUGUGAUAUAGCAUGCAGAACAGAAAGGGGAAGGAAAAUACACUUUGUAUUGCACACCAUCAUGUGCUAAUGACAGUAGCCAACAAUCUCAACAGUUGUAAACAGCAAUAUGAGGAAAAGCAGUAUCAAGUCCAGCUGAUAAUUGAAGCAGUUUUCUUGGGGAACACAUGCCACUGAACGUCCUUCACAAGUAACUUAGAGCAAGAGAAACAGUUGAAUUGAAGACUUGUUUAGAAAGCCUCAUAAAUGAACAAAGGUUCAGCAGUGCAUCAGGGAGGACCAAGAUCAUUAUUUUUCUAAAUUUCCGGAAAAGGAACUGUGUGAUCUUAAAUGCAAGGUUGGUGUAGUUCAUACAAAGCAAAUCUGGCUGAAAGGUGGCAUUAAGAUGAGGAACAUAAAAUUCUGAUUAAAUGG